rnacentral:lncRNA from 1 species
CAUGAUCCGGUCCAAUCCUUUGGGCUAUAUGACUCUAAUUUCGACUCUUAUUUUUGGGCUCAACCCAUUUAUGAAAUGGCCCUCUAGCAUAGCCUCUGAGAUAUUCUCGAUCAGCACCACUAGAGUCUCAAACGCGAUUCUGUACUCCCCAACCGACCCUUCUCACCGGAGGGCCAAAAAAGGCUCCUCUAUAGUCCCCUCCAUGGAUGACCUGAAUCGAGUUCGCAUUAGCAAUUUAAGUUCCUCCCAACUUCGUACGCCUCUUCUCCUUUGCUCCCAUUGGUACCAUGCCAAAGAGUUCUCCUCGAAACAUAGGGCUGUCGUUUCCAAUUUCUUCGCCUCAGUUAAUUGGUUCACCUGGAAAUAGUGUUCGGCUCUAAAGAUCCACUCGUCUGGGUUCUUCCCCAGAAAUACCGGCAUUUCUAACCUCCUUCCUCUAACCUCCUGCCUCCAAUUUUCGCCGGCAAUGCCCCCUUCUCCUCGGUUUUUCAUUUCUAGGUCCGAGAUAAUCUCAGACUGCAUGGUAUACUCUGACUCCUUUGUUUCUUCUUGGCCCUUUCCCUUCCUUUCUCUCUCUGUUUCAUCCCAUUUUGACCUCAUAAAUGUGAAUUGUUCUGAAAUAAUCGCCAUAUUCUUCUCAAUGUUUUGCAUUCUAUGCAUCUCUGCUUGCAUCCUUGUAAUGCCAUGUUGCAUGUCUUCCACCUGCUCUUGCAAUUUCUGAUGAGCCCCUUCCAAACUCCCUACCUGCUCUGUUACAUUCACCAUCUGGAUUGGAAUUGCUCUAAUACCAAUGAUAGAAACUGAGAAAAUGUCACUUCACCCAACACACUUUAAUGUAACUAAAGACAGAAAAUGAGUUCAAUAUUUCAUAGAUGAACGUUGAUUACACGGAAUUAAAGGAUAACAAUCUGAUAAUGCAAAAUGAAAGGAAAGAAAUAACAAGGAUAACUAUGGAAGUUCGAGAGGUCCACUACUCUCCCAAUGAGUACCAAUUUCAGCCUGGUAUCCCAUAUUCUGUUGCCCAUGAAACUUCCUAACAGAUUUCCCUAACCAUGUAACUGCUGCACGUGCCUUCUCUUCCCUGGUUAAUUCCCUUACUGCCCUUGCUUACUUGCUGCGUCUCUGGCACCCCAAUCUGAUUUUGGGUCUAUCAGAUUGUUAGUGUUGGUACAAUGCAAAAGUCAAUUGGAAGUGGGGGGAACUAUGUAGUACAUUGUGGUUUUUUGAGAUCCAAUUUGGUCAUCGCCUAGAAUGUUCUUCGAUUCAGUGGAGUUGGCAAGGAUGUUAUAAGUUGGUAGAUUAAUCGAUCAGUUUCAGACAGAUGGUAACUAUUGGACUGGUUUACAAUGUCUGGACUGCUGGCUUAGAACUUUGGGUGGUAAUGCAUGAGUUGGAGGCUUAGUUUAGUUUCUUCUGAACUUUAUGACUGUUAACCUUUGUCAAUUACACGUGUUAUGAUUAUGUUUUACUAUCUUCGACACACAUAAAUAAACAUUUAUCUGAUGCUCGUUUGAGGUGAGCAACAGUGCCUG